ensembl:lncRNA
AAUAUUACAGUACAUUUGGAGCUGUAGAUCAAGGACGUCACGUUGCCAGCCACAACGAGGGUAGAUCAAGGACGUCACGUUGCCAGCCACAACGAGGGUAGAUCAAGAACGUCACGUUGCCAGCCACAACGAGGGUAGAUCAAGAACGUCACGUUGCCAGCCACAACGAGGGUAGAUCAAGGACGUCACAUUGCCAGCCACAACGAGGGUAGAUCAAGGACGUCACGUUACCAGCCACAACGAGGGUAGAUCAAGGACGUCACAUUCAUUGAAAUGUUUAUGUACAUGGUGAAAAUAAACAUCCAGCCAGGACGGGUUGUGUCAGCUCUACACUCCAGAACUCAAGUGCACCUCCAGAGUCCAGUACGCCCUGUUCCUGCUCCUCGCAAUCUCCCUGAGGUGCGUGUCCCCAGCCUGGUACCACCAGUGCCGGCACCACGCACCAGGCCUACAGUGCGCCUCGGCAGUCCAGAGCGUCCGGUGACAGUACCCAGCCCAGAGCGUCCGGCGACAGUACCCAGUCCAGAGCGUCCGGCGACAGUACCCAGUCCAGAGCGUCCGGUGACAGUACCCAGUCCAGAGCGUCCGGCGACAGUACCCAGCCCAGAGCGUCCUGCGACAGUACCCAGUCCAGAGCGUCCGGCGACAGUACCCAGCCCAGAGCGUCUGGCGACAGUACCCAGUCCAGAGUGUCCGGC